rnacentral:tRNA from 2 species
GCGGGUGUAGCUCAAUGGUAGAGCUCCGGCCUUCCAAGCCGGCGGUGUGGGUUCGAUUCCCAUCACCCGCUCCA